rnacentral:rRNA from 1 species
AUACGUAGGGGACGAGCGUUGUCCGGAUUUAUUGGGUUUAAAGGGAGCGUAGGUGGGAUAUUAAGUCAGCUGUGAAAGUUUGGGGCUCAACCUUAAAAUUGCAGUUGAUACUGGUUUCCUUGAGUACGGUACAGGUGGGCGGAAUUCGUGGUGUAGCGGUGAAAUGCUUAGAUAUCACGAAGAACUCCGAUCGCGAAGGCAGCUCACCGGGCCGGAACUGACACUGAUGCUCGAAAGUGCGGGUAUCAAACAGGAUUAGAUACCCUGGUAGUCCGCACAGUAAACGAUGAAUACUCGCUGUUUGCGAUACACUGUAAGCGGCCAAGCGAAAGCGUUAAGUAUUCCACCUGGGGAGUACGCCGGCAACGGUGAAACUCAAAUGAAUUGACGGGG